AUUGAACGCUGGCGGCAGGCCUAACACAUGCAAGUCGAACGAGUGGCGGACGGGUGAGUAAUGUCUGGUAAACUGCCUGAUGGAGGGGGAUAACUACUGGAAACUGUAGCUACUCCCGACUCCCAUCAGGUGUACCCUGGUGGGAUUAGCUAGUUGGUGGGGUAACGGCUCACCAAGGCGACGAUCCCUAGCUGGUCUGAGAGGAUGACCAGCCACACUGGAACUGAGACACGGUGCAGACUCCGACGGGAGGCAGCGAUGGGGAAUAUUGCAGAAUGGGCGCAAGCCUGAUGCAGCCAUGCCGCGUGUAUGAAGAAGGCCUUCGGGUUGUAAAGUACUUUCAGCGGGGAGGCGUUACCCGCAGAAGAAGCACCGGCUAACUCCGUGCCAGCAGCCGCGGUAAUAC
rnacentral:rRNA from 1 species